GGCUGAAGACCUUGAGAACACCGUGCAGAGCCAUAGGCCAUCCUCCAGGGUAUGAAACUCUUCUGCAUGGUCAAAGGAAUGAAAAUGCAUCUCCUGACUCCUGUAUAGUUGCUUUGGAGGUUCGCAAUCAGCAAGAAAAACCAAAGUUUUUUCACUGAGUGGAAGUUCCUGUGAAAUGUAGAGUCAGAAACAUGGGAGUGACCUUAUUGAAGCAGACCACUUAGUUUCAGUCUAAACACCAGAGAGCCAAGAAAAUGGCAAGCAGAAAUACCAAAUCAUAUGGCAGGAGCCAUUGUACGAAGCGAGAGGGUAGAGCAGUCCUGGUCACUGAGGCUCAGGACCCGAUGGCAGAUGGAGCACUUGACAGAUCGAGAGGUUU